rnacentral:rRNA from 1 species
AGUGAACGCUGGCGGUAGGCCUAACACAUGCAAGUCGAACGGCAGCACAGUAAGAGCUUGCUCUUACGGGUGGCGAGUGGCGGACGGGUGAGGAAUACAUCGGAAUCUACUUUUUCGUGGGGGAUAACGUAGGGAAACUUACGCUAAUACCGCAUACGACCUACGGGUGAAAGCAGGGGAUCUUCGGACCUUGCGCGACUGAAUGAGCCGAUGUCGGAUUAGCUAGUUGGCGGGGUAAAGGCCCACCAAGGCGACGAUCCGUAGCUGGUCUGAGAGGAUGAUCAGCCACACUGGAACUGAGACACGGUCCAGACUCCUACGGGAGGCAGCAGUGGGGAAUAUUGGACAAUGGGCGCAAGCCUGAUCCAGCCAUACCGCGUGGGUGAAGAAGGCCUUCGGGUUGUAAAGCCCUUUUGUUGGGAAAGAAAAGCAGCAGGUUAAUACCCCGCUGUUCUGACGGUACCCAAAGAAUAAACACCGGCGAACUUCGU